UACGUAGGGUGCGAGCGUUGUCCGGAAUUAUUGGGCGUAAAGAGCUCGUAGGCGGUCUGUCGCGUCGGCUGUGAAAACUCGGGGCUCAACCCCGAGCCUGCAGUCGAUACGGGCAGACUAGAGUCCGGCAGGGGGAGACUGGAAUUCCUGGUGUAGCGGUGAAAUGCGUAGAUAUCGGGAGGAACACCAGUGGCGAAGGCGACUACCUGGCCUGUUCUUGACGCUGAGGCGCGAAAGCUAGGGGAGCAAACGGGG
rnacentral:rRNA from 1 species